CCAGAAGAGGGCAUCAGAUCCCCUGAAACUGGAGCUACAUACAGUUUUGAACAGCCUUUUUGGGUGCUGGGAAUUGAACCUGGGUCCUCUGGAAAAUCGGGCAGUACUCUUAACCACUGAACCAUAUGCCCAGCAUAAAAUGAGUCUUAACAGAUUCAAAAGAUAAAUAUGUGCAGAAUAUCUUCUUCAGCCACAGUGAAAUGAAAUGGGUAACAUAAGGAAAACUGGAAAUUUCACAAAAACGUGGCAACACCCAUGGUACUAAAUGGUUAGAAGAGGAGAUAAAUGAAAAUGCAAUUGAACAAAACUUAGGGAAUGCAGUUAAUAGCUGUGCUGAGGAAAUGUUUAGCUAUGAAACCUAAAUAAAAAGAAGAAAGCCACGUGUGAUGGCUCAUGCCUGUAACCACAAUUUGGGAGUCUGAGGCAGGAGAAUUGCUGUGAAUUAAAGGCCAACCUGGGCCACAAGCCUCAAAAAUAUUAACAUACUUUCGAACUCAUGAGUACACACACACAAAAUCAGGAGGAUGAAGAAGAAGGAUUACAAGUCUUCUGCUAUGGAGGGAGUUCGAGACCAGCCUGGGGAACUUAGUGAAACCAUGAGGGCUCAGUGGCAGAGUAUUUGCUCAGCUUGCACAAGGCCCUGAGUUCAAGCCCCAAUACUGGCAGUAAGGGGGCUAUAUGAGGUGACACAGAAAGUUCGUUCCUGCCACGCUUAUCUCUGCACACACCCUGCCAAGUGACCAAUUUAAGUUUGUCUCCAUGAUCCCUCUUUUCACAUGAUCUGCUUGGAAAGAGCUAGUGAGGUCCCCUCGGUCUACCUCCUGAUAGCGUCUUUGUAAGAGCUCCUCCUACUGCGUGCAGAGGAGCAGAAACCUGAAGGCAUAUUAGCAGGUUGUCAAGCACCAGUGUACUAUAGACAUUGCUGCAGUAGGCAGGAAACUGGAUUUUGCCUAUGUAUCUUGGCCAGUCUUUUAUGUCAACUUGACACAAGCUAGAGUCAUCUGAGAAGAGAGAAUCUCAACUGAGAAAAUGCCUCUAUAAGAUGAGACUGUAGGCAAGCCAGUAAUUAGUGAUUGAUCUGGGUGGGACCACCCUUGGGGCUGGUGGUCCUGGGUUCUAUAAGAAAGCAAGCUGAACAAGCCAGUAGACAGCACUCCCCUCUGGCUUCUGCUUCAGUUCCAACCUCCAGGUACCCACCUGGUUCAAGUCCUGCCUUGGUUUCCCUCAAUGGACUGCGAUUCAUUCGGGUUAUGUAAGUCAAAUAAACCCUUUCCUCCCCAAGUUGCUUUUGGUCAUGGUGUUUCAUCAUAGCAAUAGUAACCCUAACUAAUAUUCCAGGGUCUACAGAGAACAAGUCGUAUAGUUAUUGCUUUCAAAAGAGCAGGGAAUUCAUGAAUCCAGUCAAUGUUACAAUAGGUCAGGGACAGAAUGAAGUCAUAAGGACUCUGCCCACUGAGCACUUUUGGGUCCAGGGACCAGCAGACACUGCAGUCAUGAGCCUAGGGACAAAGUAUUCAGCCUCUGGUGGCUGCUGAGCCCAUGCCCAACCCUUCACCCACCCUGCUGAAUACAUAUAGACUCUUAGCCCAGUGUCCACACAGCCUUUUUGGAGCUGGCUGACUGGUGGCUGAAGAUGUAUCCUUGUGGGAUUAACAGAUACAGCCAGUAUGAGAUAGCUCUGUAACAGUGUCUGUAUUACUGACUAUUUUCACCAAGACCCCUUGAGUAAAUCCCAUGUUCAAGAUGGUGGAGAGCAAUAUUUGACAUCUCGUUUGGCCUUUGACAAAGUCGAUCCACCACAGAGAAUAUCCAAGCCACAGGAAACUGAGGUCACUGUGUCACACUAGCCAGAGUUCAGCAAGUAUGAAAGCUCACUUCCAACUUUUAAGUUCUCGAUACCUCUCAGGACAUCGUUAUUUCUCCUUUGAUCCCGUUUACAAAGGCCGAAGUGUGGUUUCUGCUGUAAACAGCCAUAUAAACUGGAAGCUGAAAAUGCAGACAGGCAAGGCAACAGCUGCUAAAUGAGGCUGGGUGGUUCCCGUGGCUCCCGAUGUGGUCUCUGGUUAAGCAAGACCGAAGCCGCACUGUGGUGUUAGUACCACACAGCAGCCCCAGAACACUAACUUCAGUCAGUGCCCUCUGACAAUGCACCCCAAGGAGAAGGGGGAGAAGGAAAUGUCAGGUUAUGUCCCAGGCCCACCUCCUGCCCACCCUCCAUCUGUGCCUGUGUCAGGGCUCACGGGAACAUAUGCUGCCUGUUGCUCACUGACCAUCUGUUCACAGGGCUGUGAAGUGUGCCCGUUACCUUGGAGAUGAGACCCUUGACUGGCGCAACACCACAAACAUUUGCUGCUCAGGUGUCCAUAAAAGACCCAUCUCCAAGGACAAGAACUUCAAGGUCAUCCAUAGCUAUAUAGGGGAAAAAAGAAAAGGAGCUCAACAAUUCAUGGAAGAUUAAGAACAAGAUGCCUGUGCAUAUGAAAAGACACCUAACCAACCACACAAAGCCACUGUAUGCCCCACAAAGACUGGAUCCAUGGGGCACAGAUUCAAGCUGGCUCUCUCCUGCAUUUCAUCCCUUCCCAAGGAAGAAAAUAUGCCUCCAUCCAUCAGAUUCUAAGAGACACACGGAAAUUUCCCAGAUGUUCUACCUCUGUGAAUUGAUUCUGAAAGAACCUUGAACAUGUAAAAACAUAUUUGUGUGGGGUUGUUCAUGAAGGCGUGGCUAUACAGGUUUGGACAUAGACAUUCCCCCAAUUGUGAACCAGCCUAGAGUCCAGGACCAGGCACCUAUAGUUGUGUAUACCACUAUCAGCUGGGCAUCACUCUUGGUCCAUCCACCUGCAGACAUCACUGGCCAUCAGUUGCCAAGUACAUGCUCCACCCUGCUGAGCAGAGAAGCCUCAGGCUCCUCAACCUGACCCCAAACUUAGGUUCUGGCCCCCAGGUUUGUUGUGAGGAGCUGAUCUGCUGCUAUUCAGGGGGAAACAGAGUAAUAAAUGGAGAGAACAUAGUCUCCAGAACCAUCAACACUUGAGAACUCGGUAAGUGGCUCUAGCACCUGAGUCUUGGUGCUCUUAUACCACUCCUAUAAUGGAUCCCAGAGAAAGGAGGUGUUUGGGAGAAAUUACAGUUCCUACUUCCAAGGCACUCUCUGAUGGGUGUUAUGUGAAUUUCUCGCCUGAUUCCACAGCUGCCUUGCCCCAAAUGAACACUCAGAGACUUAUAUUAAUUAUAAUACUGCUGGCCAAUGACUAGGGCUUCUUAUUGGCUAGCUCUGCCUUAAU